rnacentral:rRNA from 1 species
AUUGAACGUUGGCGGCAUGCCUUACACAUGCAAGUCGAACGGCAGCAUAGGAGCUUGCUCCUGAUGGCGAGUGGCGAACGGGUGAGUAAUAUAUCGGAACGUGCCCUAGAGUGGGGGAUAACUAGUCGAAAGACUAGCUAAUACCGCAUACGAUCUACGGAUGAAAGUGGGGGAUCGCAAGACCUCAUGCUCCUGGAGCGGCCGAUAUCUGAUUAGCUAGUUGGUGGGGUAAAAGCCUACCAAGGCGACGAUCAGUAGCUGGUCUGAGAGGACGAUCAGCCACACUGGGACUGAGACACGGCCCAGACUCCUACGGGAGGCAGCAGUGGGGAAUUUUGGACAAUGGGGGCAACCCUGAUCCAGCAAUGCCGCGUGAGUGAAGAAGGCCUUCGGGUUGUAAAGCUCUUUUGUCAGGGAAGAAACGGUAGUAGCUAAUAUCUAUUACUAAUGACGGUACCUGAAGAAUAAGCACCGGCUAACUACGUGCCAGCAGCCGCCGUAA